rnacentral:rRNA from 1 species
GACGAACGCUGGCGGCGUGCCUAAUACAUGCAAGUCGAACGCUUCUUUCCUCCCGAGCGCUUGCACUCAAUUGGAAAGAGGAGUGGCGGACGGGUGAGUAACACGUGGGUAACCUACCCAUCAGAGGGGGAUAACACUUGGAAACAGGUGCUAAUACCGCAUAACAGUUUAUGCCGCAUGGCAUAAGAGUGAAAGGCGCUUUCGGGUGUCGCUGAUGGAUGGACCCGCGGUGCAUUAGCUAGUUGGUGAGGUAACGGCUCACCAAGGCCACGAUGCAGAGCCGACCUGAGAGGGUGAUCGGCCACACUGGGACUGAGACACAGCCCAGACUCCUACGGGAGGCAGCAGUAGGGAAUCUUCGGCAAUGGACGGAAGUCUGACCGAGCAACGCCGCGUGAGUGAAGAAGGUUUUCGGAUCGUAAAACUCUGUUGUUAGAGAAGAACAAGGACGUUAGUAACUGAACGUCCCCUGACGGUAUCUAACCAGAAAGCCACGGCUAACUACGUGCCAGCCGCCGCGGUAA